UUUCAUGUUGGACAAAAAUUCAUUUGAAGCUUCUUUGAUGUUGGAAAGUUGAGUUGAAGUUGGUCCAAAAACAUGCCACUUUUGGAAACUUCAAAUUACAGGUCAUUUUCCAUUUUUGUAAACUUUUGAUCUGGCUUCAAAAUCUUCAAUGUAGACACUUGACAUGAUGAAUAAACCUCUUUUUUAGACAUGAAUGAAGUGUCUCAAUCCAUUUCUCCAUCUCCU
rnacentral:lncRNA from 1 species